CACUGAGGGAUAGCUCAAUGGGUAGAGCAUGAGACUCUUAAUCUCAGGAUCGGGGGUUCGAUCCCCACAUUGGGUGA